rnacentral:rRNA from 1 species
UACGAAGGGGGCUAGCGUUGUUCGGAUUUACUGGGCGUAAAGCGCACGUAGGCGGAUUGUUAAGUUGGGGGUGAAAUCCUGGAGCUCAACUCCAGAACUGCCUUCAAUACUGGCAAUCUCGAGUCCGGAAGAGGUAAGUGGAACUCCUAGUGUAGAGGUGGAAUUCGUAGAUAUUAGGAAGAACACCAGUGGCGAAGGCGGCUACACGUCGGUGCCCG